GAGUCAUUGGGACUCUAUUAAACCUAAAGGCGCAAUGAAAGUAAAGGUCCGCCUCGCGCGGACCCAGGGAGGAUGGGUCCGUCCACGGACGGGCCCCGCACUCCCGGGGCGUCUCGUUCUCAUCGCGAGAAGAGGCGCACCCAGAGCGUACACGCUGGGACCCGAAAGAUGGUGAACUAUGCCUGGUCAGGACGAAGUCAGGGGAAACCCUGAUGGAGGUCCGUAGCGAUUCUGACGUGCAAAUCGAUCGUCGGAACUGGGUAUAGG
rnacentral:rRNA from 1 species